AGAAAACGAAGAUCAUGGCAUCUGGUCCCAUCACUUCAUGGGAAAUCGAUGGGGAAACAGUGGAAACAGUGUCAGACUUUAUUUUUGGGGGCUCCAAAAUCACUGCAGAUGGUGACUGCAGCCAUGAAAUUAAAAGACACUCCUUGGAAGAAAAGUUAUGACCAACCUAGAUAGCAUAUUGAAAAGCAGAGACAUUACUUUGCCAACAAAGGUCCGUCUAGUCAAGGCUAUGGUUUUUCCAGUAGUCAUGUAUAGAUGUGAGAUUCAGACUGUGAAGAAGGCUGAGCGUCGCAGAAUUGAUGCUUUUGAACUGUGGUGUUGGAGAAGACUCUUGAGAGUCCCUUGGACUGCAAGGAGAUCCAACCAGGCCAUUCUGAAGGAGAUCAGCCCUGGGAUUUCUUUGGAAGGAAUGAUGCUAAAGCUGAAGCUCCAGUACUCUGGCCACAUCAUGCGAAGAGUUGACUCAUUGGAAAAUACUUUGAUGCUGGGAGGGUUUGCUGGCAGGAGGAGAAGGGGACGACAGAGGAUGAGAUGUCUGGAUGGCAUCACUGACUCACUGAAUCUGAGUGAACUCCGGGAGUUGCUGAUGUCAGAGAGGCCUGGGGUGCUGCGAUUCAUGGGGUCUCAAAGAGUCUGACACGACUGAGCGACUGAACUGAAAUGAGAUGAGUCAGCUCUUCACAUCAGGAAGCCAAAGAUUGGAGUUUCAGCUUCAACAUCAGUCCUUCCAAUGAACACCCAGAACUGAUUUCCUUUAGCAUGGACUGAUUGGAUCUCUUUGCAGUCCAAGGAACUCUCAAGAGUCCUCUCCAACACCACCAUUCAAAAUAAUCAAAUUUUUGGCACUCAGUCUUCUUUACAGUCCAAUUCACAUCCAGUCCAUGAGGUCACAAGGAGUCAGACAUGACUGAGUGACUUGACUCACUCACAUUCAUACAUGACCACUGGAAAAACCAUAGCCUUGACUAGACGGACUUUUGUUGACAAAGUAAUGUCUCUGCUUCUCAACACACUAUCUAGGAUGGUCAUAACUUUCCUUCCAAGGAGUAAGUGUCUUUGAAUUUCAUGACUUCAAUCACCAUCUGCAGAGAUUUUGGACCCUCCCCUACAAAAAGAAAAAGUAAAUUCAUCGACUGUUUCUGCUGUUUCCCUAUCUAUUUGCCAUGAAGUGAUGGGACUGGAUGCCAUGAUCUUCAUUUUCAGAAUGUUGAGAUUUAAGUCAAUUUUUUCACUCUCCUCUUCCACUUUUGUUAAGAGACUCUUUAGUUCCUCCUCACUUUCUGCCAUAAGGGUGGUGUCAUCUACAUAUCUGAGGUUAUUGAUAUUUCUCCCAGCAAUCUUGAUUACAGUUUGUACUUCUUCCACCCCAGCGUUUCUCAUGAUGUACUCUGCGUAUAUGUUAAAUAAGCAAGGUGACAAUAUACAGCCUUGACAUAUUAGUUUUCCUAUUUGGAAUCAGUCUGUUGUUCCAUGUCCAAUUCUUACAGUUGCUUCCUGACCUGCAUACAGGUUUCUCAAGAGGCAGGUUAGAUGGUCAGUGGUAUUCCCAUCACUUUCACAAUUGUCCAGUUUAUUGUGACCCACACAGUUAAAGGGUUUGGAAUAGUCGAUAAAGCACAAGUAGUUUUCUGGAACUUUCUUGCUUUUUUGAUGAUCCAGUGGAUUUUGACUAUUUGAUCUCUGGUUCCUCUGCCUUUUCUAAAACCAACUUGAACAUCUGGAAGUUUACAGUUCACGUAUUGCUAAGGCCUGGCUUGGAGAAUUUUGAACAUUACUUUACUAGUGUGUGCUGCUACUACUGCUACUAAGUCGCUUUAGUUGUGUUCGACUGUGCGAUCCCAUAGACAACAGCCCAUCAGGCUCCCCCUUCCCUGGGAUUCCCCAGGCAAGAACACUGGAGUGGGUUGCCUUUCCUUCUCCAAUGCAUGAAAGUGAAAAGUGAAAGUGAAGUCCCUCUCUGGUGUCCAACUCUUAGCGACCACAUGGACUGCAGCCUACCAGGCUCCUCCAUCCAUGGGAUUUUCCAGGCAUGAAUACUAGACAAUGGGGUGCCAUUGCCUUACCCACUAGUGUGUGAGAUGAAUGAAACUGUGCAGUAGUUUGAGCAUUCUUUGGCACUGCCUUUCUUUGAGAUUUGUAUGAAAACUGACCUUUCCAGUCCUGUGGCCACUGCUAAGUUUUCCAAAUUUGUUAACAUACUGAGUACAGCACUUUCACAGCAUCAUUUUCAGGAUUAGAAAUAGCUCAAUUGGAAUUCCAUCACUUCCACUAGCUUUGUUCUUAGUGAUGCUUCCUAACGCCAACUUGACUUCACAUCCCAAGAUGUCUGGCUCUAAGUGAGUGACAACCCCAUCGUGAUUAUCUGGGUCCUGAAGAUCUCUUUUGUACAGUUACUCUGGCAGGUGAAUUCCUGCCACCUCUUCUUAAUAUCUUCUGCUUCUGUGAGGCCCAUACCAUUUCUGUCAUUUACUGUGCCCAUCUUCGCAUGAAAUGGGCCCUUGGUAUUUCUAGUUU
ensembl:lincRNA